AUUGAACGCUGGCGGCAGGCUUAACACAUGCAAGUCGAGCGGAGCGAGGGUGCUUGCACCUUAGCUUAGCGGCGGACGGGUGAGUAAUGCUUAGGAAUCUGCCUAUUAGUGGGGGACAACAUUCCGAAAGGAAUGCUAAUACCGCAUACGCCCUACGGGGGAAAGCAGGGGAUCUUCAGACCUUGCGCUAAUAGAUGAGCCUAAGUCGGAUUAGCUAGUUGGUGGGGUAAAGGCCUACCAAGGCGACGAUCUGUAGCGGGUCUGAGAGGAUGAUCCGCCACACUGGGACUGGGACACGGCCCAGACUCCUACGGGAGGCAGCAGUGGGGAAUAUUGGACAAUGGGCGGAAGCCUGAUCCAGCCAUGCCGCGUGUGUGAAGAAGGCCUUUUGGUUGUAAAGCACUUUAAGCGAGGAGGAGGCUACUUAGAUUAAUACUCUAGGAUAGUGGACGUUACUCGCAGAAUAAGCACCGGCUAACUCUGUGCCAGCCGCCGCAGUAACAC
rnacentral:rRNA from 1 species